GCACCUGUAGCUCAGUGGCUGGGGCACCAGCCACAUAUACUGGAGUUGGCAGGUUCAAAUCCAGCCUGGGGCC
rfam:Otolemur garnettii contig076669, whole genome shotgun sequence.